rnacentral:rRNA from 1 species
CACCUCUAGCAUUACUAGUAUUAGAGGCACUGCCUGCCCAGUGACAUUAGUUAAACGGCCGCGGUAUCCUGACCGUGCAAAGGUAGCAUAAUCAUUUGUUCUUUAAAUAGGGACUUGUAUGAACGGCCACACGAGGGUUCUACUGUCUCUUGCUUCCAAUCAGUGAAAUUGACCUCCCCGUGCAGAGGCGGGGAUACACAAAUAAGACGAGAAGACCCUAUGGAGCUUUAAUUAACUAACUCAAAGAAAACAUAAAUAACCGCCAAGGGAUAAUAAUCUUCUACCUGAGUUAGCAAUUUCGGUUGGGGUGACCUCGGAGAACAGAAAAACCUCCGAGUGACUAAAAUCUAGACUUACCAGUCAAAAUGUAGUGUCACUUAUUGAUCCAAAAUAUUUGAUCAACGGAACAAGUUACCCUAGGGAUAACAGCGCAAUCCUGUUCAAGAGUUCAUAUCGACAAUAGGGUUUACGACCUCGAUGUUGGAUCAGGACACCCCAAUGGUGCAGCCGCUAUUAAAGGUUCGUUUGUUCAACGAUUAAAGUCCU